rnacentral:tRNA from 1 species
GGUGGCUCAGUGGUAGAGUGCUUGCCUAGCAUGCAUGAGGUCCUGGGUUCGAUUCCUCAGCACCA